CGUUCGAGUUGCCCCCUCUCCCCGGAGCUCUGAGGAAAAGAGCAGGCGGCUGGCUGGCUCGGGACCUUUCUCUGUAUGCUCAGGGGACUCGGGAAACGCCAAAGACGAUUUAGAAAGGAGCAGAAGGCCGGGACCUGGCAGCCGCCCCGCAGAGCGCAGACUCACUUCGGCGCUUGUUAGUAGGACAGCACGUCCCCGCUUGGGUAAUUCACAAACUAUUUCAUACGGGGGUUGCUGCCAUAGGCCAAAACUGGAGCGAAAGUACCAGAAUCCCCAAGUGUUCGUUGGAAUAUUAUACUAGGAAAGGAGACCCGUGGAAAGGGCCGUAGAUCGUAGAAAGUUGACAAAAAGCAUACUUGUCUCCUUCGAGCCGGAAUCGAACCAGCGACCUAAGGAUGUCUCCUGCCAGGAAGUCAGCUACAGUCCUCCGCUCUACCAGCUGAGCUAUCGAAGGAACGGGCAAACUGUCCGUGCCCCUUGAGACUCAAUGUUCAAGAACCCGAACGAGCACAGCUGCGGGCUAGAGACUGAAUAGAGCAUGCGUAUUCCGGGACGGGGAGGGGAAGGGAGUAAACGCCUGUGUAUUGUUUCACGCGUGCGCAGAAACACAACCUGGCUCCCCUUCGUGGGAUCCUGACAGACCCCGGAGAGGACCCCCAAUGCGUGUGUCCUAGAGCUAGUGGUACCAAGACUCAGCAACUCCGACACCACCUUCCUUUACUUUUCCUUUACCACCCCAUAUUGGGAGUGACUGCCCGAGUGUGGCCUUACCACUCUAAUCUGUAUGUCCCCUCAGUUUCUCCUUGUGUGGAGGGCCAGUGGCGCAAUGGAUAACGCGUCUGACUACGGAUCAGAAGAUUGUAGGUUCGACUCCUGCCUGGCUCGGCAUUUUUGUCACAAUGAUUUUUUUUUUAUAAAGCAAAGAUUAUUACUUCUUCAGGGUUCCUCAAGUCACAAAUGCCGAGAGUAUUUUACUGCACUUCGAGUCCAGAAAUCUGUUGUGCGUCGCUUCCAGUGCCGCCCCGUCGAACUCUCUCGAGCACUAAGGAGAGGCAGCCGCGGCCGCGCGGCUAACUGCCCGCGAGAGCGCUUCCGACACGGGCGGGGGGAGGCUCUGGGGAAAGCUGGCGAGAUCAGCCGCUCAGGAACUCCAGGUAGGAAGCUGGGUUAGGGAAAGUGAAGCCCGCAGUCCCCGUGAGGAAGCUGGUUGAAAUGCCAGGGCUGCUUCUGCAGCAGCUUCAUUCGUCGGGUCUUGUAAAAUAGUUGAAGACUUUAGUCACCAAAGUCACGAGAAAAACUGCCCACGCACACGCCCUGACAGUGCUGACGAAAGAAAGUUAAGGUUAAAAGGAACCAUUUGCACUACAGGGAGAUUGCAAGACUGACCCAUCCAAUUCCCAGGGCUCCAUAAGACUGCAAGUUCAUUUGCAGUCUUUCACACUCAGGAAAAGUAGAGCUAUCAUCUUGUUCAUACAGUGUCUUUCCCAAAGAAAAUAAAGUGCAUUAUAGAUGACUCUGGACAAUGUUUCGGGAGUAGAGAUAUUUGGGUACCAGGACAGAUUACUCAGAAGGAAAAAACCUUCACGAGGUAAGAUGCCCUCUUUCUGGGCCUGGGAACAAGGACCUGCCUGGGGUGGGGGGGCUCUCAGGAGCUGAAGAAGUUGAUACAGUAAUAGGAUUUUUCCGCUAUCACAAAGCUGAGUUGGCAGCCCCAGUAGCGAGCAGAAAGUGUUAACAGCUGUCCUAUUACUGCUGAUUGGAUUCUGGGAAUUUAGUUUUGCUUCUUGGGGACAGCCUGGGAACAGCAUGAAAGUUCCAGAAAGCUGCAUCCCACCCAUUUAAUACUGAGCAUGUUUAGGCCUCUUUUUGGAGAAAGGCUUUUCUCAGAAAUGACAUGUGUUGUAAGAAUUAAUCAGUUAAUCAAAAGAUAUUUGUUAGUUCCUACUUCAUUUUUAGCACUGGGAAAAAUACAAAUGUAGACUCUGACUCUAAGAUGUCAUUCUGGAAAUCACUGCUAAUUUGAGCCAUCUGCAAUUUGGAAAUGGCUUUGUUUUACAGAAACUGGUUAUACAUAACUUAAUCUAAGUUUAUACUUUGUACUCUAGAACAGCUCAAGAAUAAUAUACAGAUAAAUGUUACUUAGGUGCUUAGGAGGGGUGGCUGGAAAAAGAGGGGUUUGGAGAAGUGGACUUGUGUUUCUCGGAUAAAGGUUUUUCUUUGUUGGGGAAGGACUGGUGCUCUGGGGAUGGAUUUGCCUUCACAUCAGUGAGGAGUAAGGGAGGGCAAGCUGCUAAAAUUUUUUAAGAUAGCUCUGUAAUUGAGUCAGAGGCCUUAUUGGGUCCCAAGCUACCAUUAGCUUUUAUAUUAAUCAAAUUGUUCAUAUUAAUAUGCAAAAAAAUUAAUAUACUAAGCCUUCCUUAAAGGCUAAAGAUUCUAGCAGCUUUUGCAUUUCUAGCAGGUAGGAAUUUCUCUAUUUUGUGAUACAGGUUAAACAUUUACUCAUUUAACAAAUAUUUUCUUGCUGUCUACCAUGUGUCAGGCAUUAUUUUAAGCACUGGGGAUACAGCAGAACACAAAAAUAGCCCCAAAUCUUUGCCUUCACAGUGUGGGAGACAGACAAUAAAUCAAGACUAAAAAGUAUGUUAGUGAAAGGUAUGAAGGAAAAAAGUAGGGAAUAGGAAGCAUGAGGUGGGUUAUAGUUCUAGGCAUGGUAGUCUGGGAAAGCCUUUGAAGAAGUGACAUUUGAAAAAAGAUCUUAGGUAAGUUUCUUCAUCAUCUAAAUACAUUAUAUGUUCUAAAUUUAAUUCUGACUCAGAGCUGCAGUUUAACAAGGUAGCAAGAAAUUUCACCUCAGCCAGGUUUUUAGAGUCUUCCCCACUUCCUAGGGAUGUAUGGGGUCCUCAGGUUUUCUGUCUUCCUCCUCCAAGUGAGUUUCUAGCCCUUCAUCUUGCUCCAGCCUCAUUGCUCCUGGGGUCUCUGUGUCCAACCCCGUAGGAUUCCUUUGAGGGGCCAGGUGUGGGUAAAGGAAUCUUUUGCUAUGGCUAAGAAGCCAUGACUUAAAUUUGUCUGUCACCCAGCAUCCAAGUGCUAUCUCAUCAGAGGGGCUCUCCCCUGUGGAGAUAUUGCCAGUAAACUGGGGAGACCCUGGGCCCUGGAGCCUUGACCCAGCCUGUCCCAAAGGUGUCGCUGAAGCUUCUUGGUCUCCUCACGAGAAAGAAUUCAAGGACAGACACAACACAGGGAUGAAUGACACAAGUGGGAAAGUUUAUUAAAGCUAGAGUAUACUCUUCAGAUGUGACAGCAGGUGACUUAGAGAAAGAGAAGAAGAGCUGUGCACACUGGGGUUUGGGUUUCUAUCUUUUAUUGACAGUUACAAACUAGGGGUGGAAUAUUCAUUACUAGGGGCAGGGAUUUCUUGGAAGCUGGGUUUUGGCCUUUUCUUCCUUUUUUGGCCAGGGUUUUCGUGUCAUGACACCCACCUUCUUGGGCCUGUCUGGUUUGAUCUGGCUUCUUGUGGAGUGCUGCCAGGACAGGCCUCUGACUUCCCUGAUAGGUGGCCAUGACUUCCUCUUUGCUGGCUUCUGGGUAUCCUGCUAGAAUCUAACUAACUGCUUACUCUAACAGAGACACAAGUCUGGGCUACUCUGGGAGCUCCCCUCCAAACUUCCAAACCCAUCUUUAGUCCAAAGGCCCUCAUAACAGGGCUACUCUCUCCCUCACAUUUCUUUCUAACAGCCCUUAUAAUAGCCCAAGCACCCAAACAAAAGCCUGGGUGGUAGUUUUCUAGGUGUCUCUCUACCAUUAUAUUUAACCUCCAAGGUCACAAUAGCAAGGGAGUGACCUUUAUAAGAUGAAUCUCAGAAGGACAGCCCUCAUUCCUUUGAGUCUCACUAAGGACAAAACACAAUUAAUGUCUCAAUAAAUUACCUUGCCAUACAUUCAAAUAAUGAAUGUGGUCACUAUGAAUUAUUUUUCUGUCAAUACACUCAGAGAAUUGUUGGAAAAAUACUUCUGUUCCUCUCUGACCUAUCAGCAUUAUGAGUAUCUGUGCUUGAAUUUGAAAAUAUUCACCUCUCUGAAUAUUGUUACCCAGGCUAUUUGCUAUUUCUCCCUCCUGCGCUGGUUGGGGGUAGAUUUAUAACAGUUUAUGUAAAAGACCAGUAAACAUGGACAUGGCAUUGGUAGUGGCCAGCAGAGAGAUUAGGAGACUAAAACAAAGGAAUAAAUGUCAAAUGGAAGAAAGGUGGGAGUGGGAGAAGGGAGGAGAACAGGGAAGGAGAUGGAGUAUUGAGAACCAGGGAAGAGAAGAGACCGAGGAGAAAAUGAAGUUAGAUACUCAGGAUGAAGAAAUAAAAAAAAAAAAAAAGAAAAAGAAAAAGAAA